rnacentral:lncRNA from 1 species
CCAGUGCUGUCCUGUUUCUACUGAUCACAGUGAUUGUGAAUAUCAAACUCAUUCUUGAUACAAGGAGAGUAGCCAGACAAGGAGAGUAGCCAGUGAGGAAGAUGCAGCUCAAGAGUAUGGUAAUGUCAAUAAGUUCCUUUGUGGACACUGUUUUAUGAUGCCUUCACAUGAUUUAAAAUAUUACUAUUACUUGAGUGGAAUUGUAAAGACACUAAUAUCUUUGUGCUUUCAAAGGUUUAACUUUUGCACACUGUCAGUUUUGAAUUAAUAACAUUGUUUUUUGCUAUCAUUGAACAUUGUCUCAGAUGAUGCCCUGUCUAACAUGGAAACUCCCCGGAGACCAGCCAGUGGGAGGAAGGUUUUGGAUAUCGAGGUGUACUCUAGUCGAUCUAAGGUGUAUGUAGCAGUGGACGAUACCACUAGGCAGAGUGCCACUGGACAGACACAGAGCUGAACCGCCGGAGGAAACUCUUCUGCAGUAAAGUGGAAGGAUAUGGAAGCAUUUGUAGUUGCAAGGAUCCAGCACCCAUAGAGUUUAAUCCUGACCCAAUAAGAAACACAUCUUGUGACUUAAAUACUUUUUACUGUAUAUAUACACUACUAUUGAAAAAUUAGUAGUCAGUGAGAUUUCUUUAUACUUUUUUAAACACUUUUAUCGAGCAAGGAUGCAUUAAAUUGAUAAAAGUGACCGUAAAGACUUUAACAUUGCUAAAAGAAAAAUCUAUUUCAAAUAAAUAAUUUUCUUUUGAACUUAUGAGUCCUCAAAAUUGCAUCAAACUUGCUUUAAAAACAGAUUUAAUAAUCUCAUGCAUCAAGGCAUUAACUUUCACACUUUACGUUACACUGUCUGAUCUACCAAACUGUGUGAAAUAUUAGCAUGUCACAGUGAACUAUUAAAAAGUUAUUUUACUGUGAUACAUUUUUGGUACCAUGAUAUGUUUUUAUCUAUGCUAUCAGGGACAUGACUAUAAAAACCAUUGUUUUUAUGUAGAAGUGUUAGAAUUUCAGUUGUU